rnacentral:lncRNA from 1 species
UGGUCUCUUUCUCCGACGUUUCGCGGGACCCUUACAUUUGGUGCAUUGGCCGGGAAAAGCGCAUCGCCGGACAAGGAGACCUCCAACAGACUCCUUUAGGGGGUAAGUAAGGCGCCUCUUCCUCUUCUUCUUCCUCCUCUUCUUCUCCUCCUUCUUCUCCUUCUUGUUUUUCCUUUGCGAUUGCUUAGAGCUUUUUGGUUUUUGGCUCGGUGGAGAGCGUAAGUUCUCAAAGCUUUUUGGUUCAGGUUUGGUCUUUGGCUUGGAUUGGUUUGGUUGGGUUGGCAGCAUGGCCGUCAGCAGAGAGUGUAAAUUCUCCCUGGCAGUGGUGACAGACGUGUCCUAAUCCACAGGCCACUCCUCUUAAGGGAUGCCUUAGAGGAUUCGGGGGGGGGGGCAAAAGUGCCCCCAGUUGGUAGAGGGACAAGAGUGCCCUCGUUUGUACUCUGCUGCCAACCCGUUUAUUUCACCGGCAAUUCUUUCUCUCAGAUUGGAUUCACAGUCUGUCUUUAAUCUUUGCCUCUAAACUUGUGUUAAUCGUUUACUGUUUGUCCUUGUCUCUGUGUCACGUUUGUAUUGUCCCUGUCUCUGCCUGAGUAACUCCCAGUAUAUGACAAAGCCAUUCCACGCCUCUGUCCCUGAAGCCUUUCUUGGUCCCUGCCUCCACUCUGACCCCUUCCCCCAAGAUCCUAUCACUCAAUCCUUCUGCUCCUCCCCCUUUUCCCUCCAUUCUCCUUGAGUCACAAGAUUGUAGAUCUUGGGGUUGUGAACGAAUGGGAGCUGCAUGAUGAUCUUUGUGUGUCUUUUUGUCUGUGUCUCUGUUAAGUGUGGUGGCAUUGUUUUACUUUGGACCGAUGCAGAGUCCCAAAUUCCAAAUGACCUUAGAUGUGUGGAAGUAACUUUAGCUAAAUUUUAACCUAAUGCUUCUCCUGUGAGGGACCAAAAGUCAAUAGAACCACCAGCUUUUCUGUUCUCACCUUUUACACCUCUCUUAGCUGUGUUUUAAAGAACUUUGAUAAACUUUACCUCCCUUUGUUAAACGAGAUUAGGGAAGCAGUGUUUUCUUUUCUUCCUGUAGUUGGCUUGAGCACGCCCACUGCAGAGGGAAAUGCCUGGGGUCUAAAAACUUUGAUAUCUCGCUUAAACUUUUCUCAAACUCUAAACAACUGCAAGCAGAGGAUCAGCUUUUUGGGAAGCUGACUACUAAAAAGUUAGGAGAUGUGAAAAAUGCCUGGUGUCUGGGGUCAAACCUAACCAGAGGAACUAAUCUUGGAAGUAAAAGGUGGAACUAAGGGGCUCCCAGCAGCUGCCAAAGCCAUUUUGCUUUGGGGAGUUUCCUCAUUCCUUACCUGCACUUUAAAGAUUAAUCCACCUCUGUUUGCUUAACUAAUGGGACUAUAAAUGCAGUAAUGUGUUGAUGUUAUAGAUUGUUUCUUGGGGAUAAUCUUGGCUAAAUGUGUAUCUAAAAGAUAAUUUUUUUUUAUUGUAACAAUUUGGUAUCUGAAUGGGUUUCUAAAGCAUUGCACUAUCUUGCAGUUAAAAGUUGGGUUUAAGCAAUUGUUUAGUUUGAUUUCAGAUAGUUCAUGCUAGAAAACUUAAAUACUUAGGGUAAAAAAAUUAGAAAGUUUCAAUUUUGAACUGGGUAGCCUGAGAAAAUUCCACUAGGUAUUCCAGUGCCUUAACUUGGGCAAAGAUAAUAAAUUAUGAUAUGAUAUCUGUUCCCCUCAGUGUGUAAGAUUCAGGAAAAAAAAAGGGUGCUAAAUUAAAACGUUGGUCUGGCUUAUUGAAACGACAUUAAUUAGCAACAGUCUUGGGAAUUUUUAAGGCUUGAUUUUAGAUAUACAUGGUAGAACUUAAUACUACUUUAGGACCUUCAGAACAAAGGAAGCAGCUUAAUGAUCCUGAGGGAAUUUCCUCUGAUGAUGGCCUUUAUAUUAUCAGAAAAAGAUCCUAUUUUCAGUUUUGUGUGAGCAAGUGUUUCUAAUGUAAAGAGAUAUAAAGAUAUAAAAUUUUGAGAAUUGCAUCUUAAACCUGAAAAUUAUGACUUAUAGCUAAAAUGCCUUAGGCAUGAGGUUUCUGCUCAGAAUUCCAGUUUUCCCAGUUCCUUCCAGACCUCAGCCAGGACUUAAGCUGAUAUGCAAAUAGAAGAAGCUUGGAACACUCAGCAGGAGACAGAUUUCAGGCCCAAGGAAAAAAAGAGUUAAAGUGUCUUUUUACCUGAACUCAAACUAGACCCCAACCAAAAAGUAAAUUAUAUGGUAUUUAUUAAUUACUGGCCAGUCAUCUUUUUUUAGGACUCUUGCUUUUUCUUAGAUUCUGCAUUUUUUUUUUUUUUUUUGGAGCUCAUGAUUUUAAUCCCACAGAUGGGUUAAAGUUUUCUGAUCAGUUCUAUUUCUGAUCAACUGUGGAGUUUUUAAACAUUGCAAUGGAGAUUUCACCUGAAAAAGCUACAAGGGUGUUACACUUGUGUUAUGUGUUGUAUGUCGGUAUGUCUGUAUGUGUGUAUGUCCAUAUAUCCUGCAGUGAUAUGACAAUUGACAGAUGAGGAGCGCUCAUAAAAAAAUUUAAAAAUGAAUCCAAAUAUCUUUGAUUCACAUGAUUCAAAUCGUUCAAUUUAAAUUGGGUAAACAGAUAAAAUGUUGAUGUCUAUAAAAUAAUCUGCUUAAAUUCAGAAAUUUACAGAUAUUGUUUUAAAGUGUGAACAGAAGGAGGUUAACAGAUGGAAAAGAAAAACUAGAAAGUUUUAGGUAUGGAUUUAAUAGAGGGAAAAUGUGUUUCUGGAUAAGAGAGUCUAUGUGAUUAAGUAAUUAAGAAGGUUUAAGUAAGUGAUAAAAAAGGUUUGUGUAAGUUGGUUAUAUGUGUAAGUUUGAGCAAGUAAUCUUAAAGAAAAUUAAAGAUUAUACAACUAUGGUUAAACAACAGCUGUUAUUUUUCAAUAUUGUAAUGUUGUUACUUUAAAAGCUAACCUCGGUUAAUAUAAAAACAUCAAUGUAAUUAUGGCGCUAUUAAUGUGUUCAUAUCUUCCAGGUAUACAAGUCUAUAAGGUAGGAGCUUCAAAAGAACAUUGUAUCAAGCUGGUGUUCUAAAGUUGUAUG